AUUGAACGCUGGCGGCAGGCCUAACACAUGCAAGUCGAGCGGGGUUUUCGGACCUAGCGGCGACGGGUGAGUAAUGCGUAGGAAGCUACCCGAUAGGAGGGGAUACCAGUUGGAAACGACUGUUAAUACCGCAUAAUGUCUACGGACCAAAGUGUGGGACCUUCGGGCCACAUGCUAUCGGAUGCGCCUACGUGGGAUUAGCUAGUUGGUGGGGUAAUGGCUCACCAAGGCGACGAUCCCUAGCUGGUUUGAGAGGAUGAUCAGCCACACUGGAACUGAGACACGGUCCAGACUCCUACGGGAGGCAGCAGUGGGGAAUAUUGGACAAUGGGCGCAAGCCUGAUCCAGCCAUGCCGCGUGUGUGAAGAAGGCCUUCGGGUUGUAAAGCACUUUCAGUAGGGAGGAAGAGUUGAGUGUUAAUAGUACUCAGCUUUGACGUUACCUACAGAAGAAGCACCGGCUAACUCUGUGCCAGCCGCCGCUGUAACAC
rnacentral:rRNA from 1 species